CGGGUGAGUAACACGUGAGCAACCUGCCCUAGGCUUUGGGAUAACCCCGGGAAACCGGGGCUAAUACCGAAUAUUCACUUGCGGACGCAUGUUUGUGGGUGGAAAGUUUUUCGGCUUGGGAUGGGCUCGCGGCCUAUCAGCUUGUUGGUGGGGUGAUGGCCUACCAAGGCGACGACGGGUAGCCGGCCUGAGAGGGCGACCGGCCACACUGGGACUGAGACACGAUCCAGACUCCUACGGGAGGCAGCAGUGGGGAAUAUUGCACAAUGGGCGGAAGCCUGAUGCAGCGACGCCGCGUGAGGGAUGACGGCCUUCGGGUUGUAAACCUCUUUCAGCAGGGACGAAGCGCGAGUGACGGUACCUGCAGAAGAAGCGCCGGCCAACUACGUGCCAGCAGCCGCGGUAAGACGUAGGGCGCGAGCGUUGUCCGGAUUUAUUGGGCGUAAAGAGCUCGUAGGCGGCUUGUCGCGUCGACUGUGAAAACCCGUGGCUCAACUGCGGGCCUGCAGUCGAUACGGGCAGGCUAGAGUUCGGUAGGGGAGACUGGAAUUCCUGGUGUAGCGGUGAAAUGCGCAGAUAUCAGGAGGAACACCGGUGGCGAAGGCGGGUCUCUGGGCCGAUACUGACGCUGAGGAGCGAAAGCGUGGGGAGCGAACAGGAUUAGAUACCCUGGUAGUCCACGCUGUAAACGUUGGGCGCUAGGUGUGGGGGGCCUCUCCGGGUCUCUGUGCCGCAGCUAACGCAUUAAGCGCCCGGCCUGGGGAGUACGGCCGCAAGGCUAAAACUUCAAAGGAAUUGACGGGGGCCCGCA
rnacentral:rRNA from 2 species